rnacentral:rRNA from 1 species
UGAGGAAUAUUGGUCAAUGGACGUAAGUCUGAACCAGCCAAGUAGCGUGCAGGAUGACGGCCCUAUGGGUUGUAAACUGCUUUUAUGCGGGGAUAAAGUGUGCCAUGUAUGGCAUUUUGUAGGUACCGCAUGAAUAAGGACCGGCUAAUUCCGUGCCAGCAGCCGCGGUAAUACGGAAGGUCCGGGCGUUAUCCGGAUUUAUUGGGUUUAAAGGGAGCGCAGGCGGUCUUAUAAGCGUGACGUGAAAUGCAGCGGCUCAACCGUAUGAUGUGCGUCGCGAACUGUGAGACUUGAGUGUAUUCGAUGUCAGCGGAAUUUGUGGUGUAGCGGUGAA